UGCGGUCGUGGCGGAAUGGUAGACGCGCCAGCUUGAGGGGCUGGUAGGAGCAAUCCUGUGGAGGUUCGAGUCCUCUCGGCCGCACCAU
rnacentral:tRNA from 1 species